CUACGUGCCAGCAGCCGCGGUAAUACGUAGGUGGCAAGCGUUGUCCGGAAUUAUUGGGCGUAAAGGGCGCGCAGGCGGCUUCUUAAGUCUGUCUUAAAAGUGCGGGGCUUAACCCCGUGAUGGGAUGGAAACUGGGAAGCUCAGAGUAUCGGAGAGGAAAGCGGAAUUCCUAGUGUAGCGGUGAAAUGCGUAGAUAUUAGGAGGAACACCAGUGGCGAAAGCGGCUUUCUGGACGAAAACUGACGCUGAGGCGCGAAAGCCAGGGGAGCGAACGGGAUUAGAUACCCCGGUAGUCCUGGCCGUAAACGAUGGGUACUAGGUGUAGGAGGUAUCGACCCCUUCUGUGCCGGAGUUAACGCAAUAAGUACCCCGCCUGGGGAGUACGACCGCAAGGUUGAAACUCAAGGGAAUUGACGGGGGCCCGCACAAGCGGUGGAGUAUGUGGUUUAAUUCGACGCAACGCGAAGAACCUUACCAGGUCUU
rnacentral:rRNA from 1 species